CCUACGGGGGGCAGCAGUGAGGAAUAUUGGUCAAUGGGCGGAAGCCUGAACCAGCCAAGUAGCGUGCAGGAUGACGGCCCUACGGGUUGUAAACUGCUUUUAUACGGGAAUAACGCGCCUUACGAGUAGGGCUUUGCAUGUACCGUAUGAAUAAGGACCGGGUAAUUCCGUGCAAGCAGCCGCGGUAAUAAGGAAGGUCCGGGCGUUAUCCGGAUUUAUUGGGUUUAAAGGCCGCGUAGGCCGCAUGUCACGCGGGCUGUGAAAGUUCCGGGCUCAACCCGGGCCUUGCAGCGCGAACUGGCGUGCUUGAGUCCGCGGAAAGCAGGCGGAAUUCGUCGUGUAGCGGUGAAAUGCUUAGAUAUGACGAAGAACCCCGAUUGCGAAGGCAGCUUGCUGCAGCGGAACUGACGCUGAUGCUCGAAAGCGCGGGUAUCGAACAGGAUUAGAUACCCCUGGUAGUC
rnacentral:rRNA from 1 species